rnacentral:rRNA from 1 species
UGGGGAAUAUUGGACAAUGGGCGCAAGCCUGAUCCAGCCAUGCCGCGUGGAUGAUGAAGGCCCUAGGGUUGUAAAGUCCUGUCGGCGGGGAAGAUAAUGACGGUACCCGCAGAAGAAGCCCCGGCUAACUUCGUGCCAGCAGCCGCGGUAAUACGAAGGGGGCUAGCGUUGCUCGGAAUCACUGGGCGUAAAGCGCACGUAGGCGGACUCUUAAGUCGGUGGUGAAAUCCUGGAGCUCAACUCCAGAACUGCCUUCGAUACUGAGAGUCUCGAGUCCGGGAGAGGUGAGUGGAACUGCGAGUGUAGAGGUGAAAUUCGUAGAUAUUCGCAAGAACACCAGUGGCGAAGGCGGCUCACUGGCCCGGUACUGACGCUGAGGUGCGAAAGCGUGGGGAGCAAACA